GACAAGGUGGCCGAGUGGUUAAGGCGAUGGACUGCUAAUCCAUUGUGUUCUGGACACGUGGGUUCAAAUCCCAUCCUCGUUG
rnacentral:tRNA from 2 species